UCCCUGCUGGACUAGUGGCUAGCAUGCAGCGCUUUCAUUGCCGCAGUCCGGGUUCGAGUCCCGGUCAGGGAA